AGACGUCUACAUUAGAUACCCGGGUAGUCCCAGCCGUAAGCUAUGCGCGUUAGGUGUACUGGUGACCACGAGUCACCGGGGUGCCGAAGGGAAACCGUGAAACGUGCCGCCUGGGAGGUACGGUCGCAAGGCUGAAACUUAAAGGAAUUGGCGGGGAGCACCACAACGGGUGGAGCCUGCGGUUUAAUUGGACUCAACGCCGGAAAUCUCACCGGAUAGGACAGACAUAUGAUAGUCGGGCUGAAGACUCUACUUGAUGAUCUG
rnacentral:rRNA from 1 species